rnacentral:rRNA from 1 species
UACGUAGGGGGCAAGCGUUGGUCCGGAAUCACUGGGCGUAAAGCGCGCGCAGGCGGUCAUCUACGUCUGGGGUGAAAGCCCGGAGCUCAACUCCGGGAUUGCCUUGGAUACGGGAUGACUUGAGGAUCGGAGAGGCAAGGGGAAUUCCACGUGUAGCGGUGAAAUGCGUAGAGAUGUGGAGGAACACCUGUGGCGAAGGCGCCUUGCUGGCCGAUUUCUGACGCUGAGGCGCGAAAGCGUGGGGAGCAAACAGG